CAGCAGCCGCGGGAAUACAGAGGGUGCAAGCGUUAAUCGGAAUUACUGGGCGUAAAGCGCGCGUAGGUGGUUUGUUAAGUUGGAUGUGAAAUCCCCGGGCUCAACCUGGGAACUGCAUCCAAAACUGGCAAGCUAGAGUAUGGUAGAGGGUGGUGGAAUUUCCUGUGUAGCGGUGAAAUGCGUAGAUAUAGGAAGGAACACCAGUGGCGAAGGCGACCACCUGGACUGAUACUGACACUGAGGUGCGAAAGCGUGGGGAGCAAACAGGAUUAGAUACCCCGGUAGUCCCUGUCUCUUAUAC
rnacentral:rRNA from 1 species